CUCUGGGUCUCAGGACGCAAUGCCGCUCUGCUGUGGAAAGCCACAGAGGAGGAGGCGUCCGUCUGGGCCAGAUGGAGGUGUGGGGAGGCCUUCUGACACAGAAGGGCUGCCGUGUGCACCAGCCCCUAUCCACCAUUAGGGCCCCACCCUUGGCUCACUGUGUGUGUUUGGCCAGACAAGUAUUUAACUGAACACUAAUUAUGAGGAAGGCAGCAUUCUAGAUUGCACACAGGUUACAAUGGAUAUAAUGGUGUACGAGACAGGCCAAGUCCUAGUGCUCAUGGAGCUUACAUUCUAGUGGAAGAAAAUGACAAUAAACAAGCAGGAAAGGUUACUGGGAAGUGCUGCAUGCAGUGGGAGAUGAGGUCACACUGCUAAGCGACCGGUGUGGGGGCCUCUGAGAGGGAGGCCAGCCGGUUGUGGAGAGCUGAAUGUGGAAGAGGGAGCUGCCUUGUGGUUGCGGGCCCAGGGGAGGAGUCCCAGGCAGGAGGUACCAACGCUCUGAGUGGGACAGAGCAUCCAGGAAACACCAUCCUGAGAGUCCCAAAUCUUAAAUCACAGUCCAGACGCCAGAACUGGAAGAGACUUUAGACACCAUCUGGAGUCCACGAUCCUCAAACUUCAAUGACUAGAGGAGCCGGCUGCGGUGUGGGGGAAACACGAAGCUGGAGUCUGCAGCCCAGGGGCUGGCUGCUUUAACAUGUGUCCUGCUGACCCUCACACAGAAGUUCUAGGACCCCACCUCAGGAAAUGCUGGUCCAGUCUCAUGGCCCCAUUUGCCAGGGGCUGACAGGGAGGCCUCCAGAGACUUCUGGACUGGGCGCAUGGGUAUGCACAGAGGAAGGCCAUGUGAGGACACAAGACGGUGGCCAAGGAGAAAGCUAUCACCAGACAUCAACUUGGACAGCAACUUAUCUUGGACUUUCAGCCCCGAGAAAAGAAUUUUUUGUUGUUGAAACUGUCCACCUGCAGUAUUUUGUUAGGACGGCCCAAGCUAACACAGUGGCCAUGACCCAGGCCACCCCUCACUUUCCCCUCCAGGUGUUUUGUCCCUUUCUUCCCCUGGAGAGGCUUUGGCCUGUCCUCUGUAGGCCUGUGCUAUGGCCCCAUCCUCCACAGAGUCGGCCCUGGGGAAUGUAAAGGGCCCUAGGGUCUGCUCACUUUUUGGAGAAUAGUGGGUCCCUGGGCUGAUGUCUCCUGGCCCUGCAGCCCCCUGAGACCCAGGGAAGCACAAGUCUCUCCAGCACAUGAAGGUUUAUGCGUGAGGCGGGUUUAGCUGUGUCUCACACUGGCCUACACAUUCAAGGCCUCAGCUUCACCAGGAUCCUGCCCCCUGCACAGGGGAGAUGGGAGGCUUGACCACAAAGUACCACACUGGCCUCCAUGACAAACCUUGUGCCACAGCUGUGGGAGGAUGGCCAGCCCUGGUCCACUUCCCUGGGCUUCAGGCCUUGUUCUGGGGAGCAGUUAGUGCAGCCUCAUCAGGAUGCUCACUUAGAGCCAGUGUCCUGCUGGGCCUGGGCCCUUCUCUGCCUAGGAGGAUGUAAUGGGCCUUAGGGCACAGGACCCAAUGGCCCCCAGGUGGGCUGUGGGGACCACAGGGCAUCCUAGAAACAGGCAUGCACAGCAGCGGCUUCAUGGCAGGUGAGUGUUCUUGUCAAGUGUCCUUGGGGAGAGGGGGAGAGAAGUCUACCAAUUACACAGCCACUCACAUGAGAACUUGAGUCUGCGCCAAAUGAAAAACAGAUUUCAUGUGGCAAGUGGCACCAACAACUUUUCUGGAAAGCAACUGUGUAUUUACACAUUGGCCGCCUUUUACGUUACAGAGGGGAAGGCAAGAGCAAUGUGCUUUAGGGGGUUAUAGCACCUAUGCUGUGACCAGAGUGGCACUUUCAGAUGGUCAGAAGGACGAGCCACUUCAUAUGGGAAGCAGCCAUUCCCUCAGUGGAAGCCCGGGCAAUAAAGGGACCACGUACACGCUCAGAGCAGCGUCUUUUCGUCCCUGUGGUCAGAAGCAUGGCUGUGCAGCCAGACCACGGGGUUCACACCAGCUCUGCUCUCUCAGGUGGUAAGGCCCUGGGCAGGCGAGCACGGAGUCUGAGCCUUUUGUGGCAAAACAAGGCUGUUAGCGCACAGGGCUCAGUCGCCGGGCCAGGCCGCCCGUCGGAAGUGGUGCUGGGGCCUGAAACCUGCCCCACAGGCAGCGAUGGCCGCAAGGGGAGAGCAUCCACACCACCUCAGGACCAUCCUGAUGAGCAAGGACACCACACAGACAGAAGCAGGCACCCUCUGAGCCUUUGGGGGGGUGGGGGGGGAUGUAGUGGCACCGAGCAAGGUCUUCCUGCUCUCCCGUCAUAAAGUCGGUGUUUACCUCUCCCUGGGGUGUCUCUCUCCUUCAGUGUGGAGGCCAAGUGGGACAUAUGACAAAGUUGCUUCUCCUGGAGUAAAGGAAGAGAAAGCUCAUGGAUUUGCUGCCAGUUUGUCACUAGGCAUGUUUCUGGUUGGUUGGCAAAAGCCCACUUCUCAAAAGGAAAGGGGCCGUGGGUCCUUCUGAGCUCUGUGACGUUCCUAAUACUGAACACUGGAUGCUAGUCCACGCCCUGUCCUUGCUCAUGCCUGCCUAGAAGGACGUCAGCUAGCGGCCUAGAGGCACACCGCCACACAGGGCUGGUCAGACAGAACAGCCAAGGCUUCAGGUAGCAGAAUGGAACCAGGGGCUCAGCUGAGGUGGCACAGCUGGGGACUCAGGCUUGCCUGGUAGAUCAGAGCUGCAGUCUUAUUUCCCCUCAGCCUACCUUCCCUGGAGCCUAAGAGCCACAGGAAUACAAUGUUCUGUAUACAGGUCCGAGCUCCCAGUACUGAAGAGCCAUUAAAGUAUACCCUGAUGCAGCAUGCUGCUUCCGUGUCCCAUCCCAGUUCUAAUCCCUAGAGUGAAAUGAGUCCAAAGCCCCUCUGCGACGUCACCCCUCACUCUUCUGCUUCCCUGGAAAAGCAAGGGGAACUCCAGUUAGGUCAAGGAGUUCGACAGUGGGUGUGAUGUAAAACAACAUGUCAGAUACACCGACUGACCCUGGGAAUCGGGUGCCUGAUGGCAGCUGUCUACGGGGUGAAAGUGAAGCCGCCACCCAGGCACAGCCUCCGGCUCACUUCCCUUCCAAACCAGCUGCAUCGGAGGGACUGUUUCUUCCCAACAAGAGCCUAUUAGUGCCGACUAAUAUUUUAUUAUUACAUAAACAACGGAUUCAUCGCAGACCAUUCAGGAAACACAGAAAAGUAUGAA